rnacentral:misc_RNA from 1 species
GAUGAAGAACGUAGCGAAAUGCGAUACUUGGUGUGAAUUGCAGAAUCCCGUGAACCAUCGAGUCUUUGAACGCAAGUUGCGCCUCAAGCCAUUAGGUUGAGGGCACGUCUGCCUGGGCGUCACAUAUCGUUGCCUGAUGCCAGUUUCCUCGUGAUGGGUGACUGUGCAGGGCGAAUGAUGGCUUCCCGUGAGCAUUGUUGCCUCAUGGUUGGUUGAAAAUUGAGUCCUUGGUAGGGAGCGCCGUGAUAGAUGGUGGUUGAGUGACGAACGAGACCCAAUCAUGUGAGACCCCUACCGAAUUUGGCCUUCAUGACCCACAUGCGUCUUUGGAACGCUCAUGACGAGACCUCAGGUCAGGCGGGGCUACCCGCUGAGUUUAAGCAUAUUCAAUAAGCGGAGGA